rnacentral:tRNA from 1 species
GGGCCGGUAGCUCAACGGUAGAGCAGUUGCCUUUUAAGCAAUUGGUUCCGGGUUCAAAUCCCGGCCGGCCUA